AACCAAGGAGGUUAUAUUCAGAAGGAGAUUGGACGGGCUUAAUACCCCGCUGCGCGGUAUUGUUUAGACCCGCUAACUCCCGUGGCGGCCUUUUGUUUCCGCCCUCCGGCGGUGCCGCUUUGAUCGGAUGUUGGGUUCAGGGCUUGGCGCCAUUUUUACCCGAGCGCCAAUCAGAAGAGCCCGACUGUGACGUCACGCGUCCGAGCUUGGCCGAAGAUCACCCGAGGCUGAGAUCGGCAUGCCGGCAGUUUCCGCAGAUUUCCUUAUUUGGGAAGCGCGGGUGACGUGUGCAAAAGGCGGCAUCAUUUGAACAAGACGCUGACGGCCAUUUUGAUGUGUGUUUCACCGCUGUACGAUCGACAUGGAAAACUACCGAGGAAGGGAAGACCACUAAAUCGACGCCAUAGUGGAUACGGCCUUGCCGAAAAGGCCACGUAGUUCGGAAUAAAAUUUACGUAUCUGAACCAAGAGUGUCUAUUUAUUUCCGCUACGCAAGACAAUUGUUGCAGAAAAGUAUGAACGAUCUUGAAGGUAAGAAUUUUUGAUGGUCUUAAAAUACAUAUUAUCGUUUAGAAAAUGAACUUCUAGAUGCAAUACGUUAGUUUAAAUGCAGUGGCAGUUAAUUACAUGUAUUGUGACAGUGAGGUCAGCUUAGCUAAACCGCACGUAUUACAAGUAAAAAUGUUACUGCUAUCGCUAUUGCUAGUUC